rnacentral:rRNA from 1 species
UGCAAGUCGAACGGAGAUAAAGAUUUCGGUUUUUAUCUUAGUGGCGCACGGGUGAGUAACACGUGAAUAACCUGACCCAAAGAGGGGGAUAACAAUGAGAAAUCAUUGCUAAUACCGCAUAAGACCACGGACCGGCAUCGGUCAGAGGUCAAAGGAGGAAUCCGCUUUGGGAGGGGUUCGCGUCCCAUUAGGUAGUUGGUGAGGUAACGGCCCACCAAGCCGACGAUGGGUAGCCGAGCUGAGAGGCUGAUCGGCCACACUGGAACUGAGACACGGUCCAGACUCC